AUUGAACGCUGGCGGCAGGCCUAACACAUGCAAGUCGAGCGGAUGAAGGGAGCUUGCUCCUGGAUUCAGCGGCGGACGGGUGAGUAAUGCCUAGGAAUCUGCCUGGUAGUGGGGGAUAACGUCCGGAAACGGGCGCUAAUACCGCAUACGUCCUGAGGGAGAAAGUGGGGGAUCUUCGGACCUCACGCUAUCAGAUGAGCCUAGGUCGGAUUAGCUAGUUGGUGGGGUAAAGGCCUACCAAGGCGACGAUCCGUAACUGGUCUGAGAGGAUGAUCAGUCACACUGGAACUGAGACACGGUCCAGACUCCUACGGGAGGCAGCAGUGGGGAAUAUUGGACAAAGGGCGAAAGCCUGAUCCAGCCAUGCCGCGUGUGUGAAGAAGGUCUUCGGAUUGUAAAGCACUUUAAGUUGGGAGGAAGGGCAGUAAGUUAAUACCUUGCUGUUUUGACGUUACCAAAAGAAUAAGCACCGGCUAACUUCGUG
rnacentral:rRNA from 1 species